GUACAAAAUGUUAACCGCUCCGUAGAGCUUCAAAGACAUGCGAUUAGACAGGAUGUGGUAUAGGGUUGGAAGGGGAACGCCCUCCGAGGGAGGCAUCCCCAAACCAAGGGGUAUGUGAAAGGGGAGGCGCGCACAUGCCCUCACCGGGCCAGCAUCUAACCUCCCGGGUCGAUUUACUAUAAUGAUCCUUCCGCAGGUUCACCUACGGAAA
rnacentral:misc_RNA from 1 species